UCGCUUCUUUCCCCCAAGCCUCGGCUCUCUUUUUUUUCUUUGCAAAAGAAUCCUAUUGCAGGUGAUCAAAAUUGAGACGCUUCGAAAUGGACUCGUAUUUAUGACGGCUGCAGUGUCCUGGGGCCAUUUGUUCCUCUUUUAUGACCAUCUGAUUAGCAAAGUCAAUGGGGAAGAAAUUGCUUUGCGAGAAGUUAGAAGAACUUCUAACUUCCAGCUGCAGGACCUGAUUGUGGUCUUGAAAAAGAAAGAGC